AGCAGCCGCGGUAAUUCCAGCUCCAAUAGCGUAUAUUAAAGUUGUUGCAGUUAAAAAGCUCGUAGUUGAAUUUCGGGACUAAUAUGUCGGUCGUGCCUCGGUACGUACUGGUUUAUUGGUUUCUCCUUUCUGAAGAACCAUGAUGCCAUUUAUUUGGUGUCGUGGGGAAUCAGGACUGUUACUUUGAAAAAUUAGAGUGUUUAAAGCAGGCUCACGCUUGAAUACAUUAGCAUGGAAUAAUGAAAUAGGACGUUUGAUCCUAUUUUGUUGGUUUCUAGGAUUGACGUAAUGAUUAAUAGGGAUAGUUGGGGGCAUUAGUAUUCAAUUGUCAGAGGUGAAAUUCUUGGAUUUAUUGAAGACUAACUACUGCGAAAGCAUUUGCCAAGGAUGUUUUCAUUAAUCAAGAACGAAAGUUAGGGGAUCGAAGACGAUCAGAUACCGUCGUAGUCUUAACCAUAAACUAUGACCGACUAGGGAUCGGAUGAUGUUAAUUUUUAAUGUACUCAUUCGG
rnacentral:rRNA from 1 species